rnacentral:misc_RNA from 2 species
AACGCACAUUGCGCCCUCUGGUAUUCCGGGGGGCAUGCCUGUUCGAGCGUCAUUACAACCCUCAAGCUUUGCUUGGUAUUGGACAUUGCCAGUUUCUGGCAGGUCUUAAAAUCAGUGGCGGUGCCAUUUGGCUUCAAGCGUAGUAAUUCUUCUCGCUUUGGAGAUCCAGGUGGUUACUUGCCAAUAACCCCCAAUUUUUUCAGGUUGACCUCGGAUCAGGUAGGGAUACCCGCUGAACUUAA